UGUUAAGAGAAUGAAAAGACAAGUCACAGAUUGAAAGAAAAUAUUUAUAAAUCACAAUUCUGACAAAGAACUGAUAUCCCAAAUAUACAAAGAACUCUCCAAAUUCACAAUAGGAAUAGGCAAAUGAUUUGAACAAACAUGUCACCAAAGAAGAUAUAUGAGUGAUAGAUAAGUAUAUGAAAAGAUGCUCACCAUCAUUAGUCAUAAGGGAAAUAAAAGUUAAAACCACAAUGAAAUACCACUUCACACUUAUUAUAAUCACUACAAUUUUUUAAAAGCAACAAUAUCAAAUGUUGACAAAGAUAUACAACAAUUGGAGCUCUCAUACAUUGCUAGUGGGAAUGUAAAAUGAUACAAGCCCUUUGGAAAACUGUUAGUGUCUUAUAAAGUUAAACCUACAUUUGCCAGCAAUCCCACUUAUAAGUAUUUGCCUGAUCAAUGAAAACAUAUAUUCAUAUAAAAGCCUGUACAUGAAUCUUAUAACAACCUUAUUCAUAAUUGCCCAAAACAAGGAAUAACAUAUAUGGCAGGGAAUACUCAGCAAUAAAAUAAAGUGAAAUAUUGAUACCUGCAACAACAUGGAUUAUUCUCAAAGGUCUUCUGCUAAUUGAAGAAAGUCAGGUCCCAGAGGCAACAUACUGUCUGAUUCCAUUUACACGACAUUGUGGAAAAAGGCAAAACAACAUAUCAGCACUGAAGAACACAUCAGUGGUUGCAAUGUUUAAGUGUGGGACAAUGAGAUGAUUACAAAGGGGGCACCUCAAGGGACAAUUUUGGUGUGAUAGAACUGUGUCUUGAUUAUGGUGGUGCUUACAGGAAUGUAUCAUUUGUUCAAGUUGAUAGGACUGUAUGCUACAGAGUAAAUUUUACUGCAUGCAGAUUAGAAAACAGACAAAUAGAAACAACAAAUCCAUAUAUUAUGUGAGUUUGGUACACCUGCUAAUUUUUAUGAAAUCUCUCUUUCUCAUUUUGAGUAUUUAAAUCACUCUGGAGUCAGUGCCUGUCAGAGAUAGAUUCUGCCCCCCACCACCGGUGUGUGUGUUGUGUGCGUGCACACGUGUGUUUUUCUAUCUGUCUCCUGAACUCAGGUUUCCAAGGGAGUGGAAAUCAUCCAUGCUCAAAUAAUUAUUUCAUCUCCAUCUCAACAUAAGUCACCUUUUUGUUAACGGAAGACAGGAAAAGUUUCUGGAGGCAUGUUAGCAUGAAGUGCUUAUCCUCUCUCAGACUGCAGUGCCAGUCUCUCAUUUGGUCUCCCCCUAAGUAUGCCUGCUAUUGUAUCAAUUUCCCUCCCCCCAAUAAUCUGUUGGGUGGAGUAAUCAACUGGCCCUGGCACAUGUCUUGGUGUCCACAGAUCCACAGAUGAGAAGGAGGAGGACAGGAAAAAAUAGUGGCCUGUUCCAGUGUCCCAUGAGAUGAAUGGGGGAGCAAUUCUCCUUCAUAUUUUUUGAAACUUAAAAUUUUUGGUCUAACAUUUAGUUUAUGCAGUAAAAGGUAUAAAGUGUACAAACCCUAAGUGUUUCACUUGAUAAGGUUUUGUAUAUACCCAAAUAACCACUACCCACAUGAAGAUAUAGAACCACUUUCAGCACCCCAGAUUGUUCCUCAUGCCACUUUCACUCAGUAACUAUCUCCCACUCCUUCCCAGAGGUAACCACUCUUCUGCUUUCUAUCACCAUAGAUUAAUUUUGCCUGUUCUCAAACUUCAUGUAAAUGGUAUUAUACAGUGUGUACUCUUUGUGAGUAUGGCUUCUUCUGCUUAAUGUAACACCUGUCAGAUUCAUCCAUGUUGUACAUAUUAGAAUUUUAUCUGUGUAGUCUUCUAUUGCAUGAAUAUUCAAUAAUUCUUUACCUACUGUGAACGUUUGAGUUUUUGGCUAUUAUGAGCAAAGCUGCUAUAAACAUUUUAUGCAUGUCCUUUGGUGGACAUAUGCAUGCAUUUCUCUUGAGUUUAUAGAUAUGAGUGGGAUUUUGGGGUUACAGAGGAUGCAUAUGUUUAGCUUUAGUAGACAUUACCAAACAGUUUUCCAAAGCAAUUGUAUCAUUUUGUGUUCCCACCAGCAAUGUAUGAGAGUUCUUGUUGCUUUACAUCUUGCCAGCACUUGGUAUUGCCAAUGUUUUUAGUUUUAGCCAUUGUGGUGGGUUUGUGGUUAUAUCUUAUCAUGGUUUUGAUUUUCCCCUUGAAAUGUACAUAUGUGCCCUUGCUGUUGUCCCAAGGAGGAGAAUUUCUGAUUGGUUUGCGGGAUGUGGAGUGGAAGUGGCAAUGGCAGGUGAUGGGAUGGUGGGAGAAGCACCUUCAUUAGGAGGGAGGGCUUAUGAAUUGUCCCAGCAUUGUAGUCCAAAAGGGGUAGCAUCCAUGUGCCUAUUUUCCUGAAGGCUGUUCCCUCAGAGGGCUGGCUCAUUAUUGACAGACAUACUCAUUUCUCCAGGAGACUGUGCUUGAGUUAUGACAGGCAGAAUGUGUCCCUCUCCUGAGCAGAUGGGCUGCUUGGAAGCUUUUUCUGGUACUAUAUGAACUGGUGUGGCAAUCCAGUCAUUUGUUUUCAGAAUGACAAUGUAUCAGUUUAACUACCACUCCCCUGAUACACUUGCCAAUUAGAAGAGAAAGUGAGGAAACAGAGCAAGAAACGAUUAUUUAUCAAGAUAUGGGAAACCAAAAUUUACUUUCACCUUUUUAUUUGGUUUGUCGAUAACCAUCUAAGCACAGGAAUCCCUAAAACACAGAUCCAUCAAGCAGGUGAGCUAUCAGUCAUUUUAUUGCACAUUUUCUCAGAUUUAUUCUGAUUUAUGGUGGGAAAAUAAUAGGGAAAACUGGGGAUGCAUAGACAAUCCUAAGUGCUCUCUGUGUUCAUUUUAGCCAGCCCUCGCCCCAAUGCCUGUGAUAACCCAAGGAAGAAAUCAUCAAAUAAACUGACAAAUAGCACUCAUUGGCUUGAGAAUUGAAUAUCUAAGUGUGAAUUCUAACCUGCUACUUGCCAAUUGUGUGACCGUGGCAUGUUAAUUGGUAUUGUGGAGCCUCAAUUUAUUCCUUUAUACCCAAAGUUUUCAUUAAGCCUAAUUCCCAAAGGAAGAAAGAACCUCUGGAAAAAAGAAGCCACACAAAGUUAUCAAAGGAGGAGGAGGCAGAGGAGGAGGAGGAAGAGGAAGAGGAGGAAGAAGAAGAAAAGAAGAAGCACCUGCUGUUCUUCUGCCAUUAAGAUUACGCCAUAAGAUGAAGGCCUACUGUCCUGGGAGGAGGAGGUAGAUACGACAUAGAACAAAACAGUCAUUGAUAAGUUUUCAAUUUCCACUAGAUUUUUAAAAUCCCUUACUGGAGCAAUAGUCUUGAAAGUCAGACUAAAAAGCAGAAAUAAAGGAGUUUUCAUAGGACUCCCAAAGUUGGGCCCCUGUAUAAUAGAAACCAAAGCUUAGAUGGUUACUAUGGUCUGAAUGUUUGCAUCUCCCCAAAAUUCAUUAUGUUGAAACCUAAUCCCUAAUAUGAUGGCAUUAAGA